GAUAAAUGACUGGUGGAAGGAUCACAAAUUUCAUGUUAAAAGGCUGCUUAUAAAAAAUGGAAUACGGUGGAAGAACGUCUUGCUAAUCCACCACACAAUGUUGUUGAGAGUCAGUGGAGGGUACUCGUUGAGGUUUGGAAUCCUGAUUUGAAGAAACAAGGAAUAUGCCAAAUAAAUAAAGAAAACAGGGAGAAACCAAGAUUUUACCAUACUACUGGCUCUAAAUCACAUGCUAAGUGUGCAGCAGAGCUGGGAAAGAAACUAGGACGACGUCCUAAACAUCAUGAAGUCUUUGGCGAUACCCAUAUCAAAAAGAAGAAAACUGAAGACCCAGAUGAAGUAUUGAUGGAUCCAUAAGUGGCUGCAGAACUUAAGGAAAUGGACGAAGUAGAGAACCAAGCUAGCCGAUCAGGUUCUGAUAUUGUGCUACAAGGAUGACAUGAUGCUUCUUCUCCAGUGAGAGGACGAGAUAAAGGUGGUCGUGUUCUCUAUUUAGGCAAUGGUAUAAAGCCAAAGAAAUAUUGGGGUGAAGAAUCAUCCACCAAUCCUACCACUGACCCAAAUGCUGAAGUUUUGAACCUUAGACAACAAUUGGAGAAUACUGUUGCAGAACAACAGAUAGCUGAAAUUGAGGCACAUGUUGCGCAUCAUGGAAUGGGAACUGGCAACACUGUUAACCCAUCGACUGAACUUCAAGCAGCAAUGCAACGGAUAGCUGAACUGGAGGCACUUGUUGCACAUCAUGGACUGGGAACUGCCAACACUGUUACCCCAUCGACUGACGCAGAGAUCAGGAACAGUCCAUGAAUGGAAGAUCUUGGUGCACAUAGAUGCUUGACUAAUAUACUACUUACAUAUAACUGAUCUGGCGACUGAGGUGCUUGUUUUUUUGUAAUACAAGGGAAUAAAAUCUAUUUCUUUUUGUUUUCAUGCCAUCAGUUGUGUUCUUAUCAUGUCCCCAACUCAUUCCACUGGCAUUUUGGAUGUUGAUAAUUUUAGUUACCAACUUUUUGAACUUUCUGGGUGUUGUUUUGUUGCCCAGAUUUAUGUUUUUUAAACAAUGAAACAUCUUACUGUUGUUUCUAUAGUGCAUCAAUGUAAACUUUUUUAUGAAUAGUAUAAGAAUUCUGCAA